UGUAACUGUGGGUUGAUAAUGGCUGGUUGCAUUUCAGUUAGGUUGAACUCAUAAAUUCUCCACAAUGCUUCUAGUGGAGACACCCAACGUGCAUCCUGAAAGGUUUUGAUUUCAUCUAUAAUUUUUUUGCCAUAGUCAGAUUCAAUGUACACAACAUAUUUAUCGUGUCCUUUUGAUAUAUAUUUGUAAAGAUAUUUUAUUGCUUUAACUCCUGAGCAUACCUCAACAUUAAUGUAACAAUUAUAUCUCAUCAACAAAUAGGGAUUAUAAGGUACAACCCAUUGGUUAUUCAUCUUCGUUCCACGGACUUCACUUGUUCUCCCAUCAUUUUUUCGUUUGUAAAUUGGAUAUCCAUCCUUUCCUUGUAUUGUCUUGCUGUUGAAUGUUCGGGGGUAGUUAAACUUACAUCGGCCAUCUUUCAUGCAGGGGCUUGUCUUGCGUUUUCCCCCACAAGGUCCAUGCAUCAUAUGUUUGAGUGUUCGUGUACAACAAUAUCUCUUUCAAACGGUAUAUUUGGAUUAUUGCCAUCCACCCAGAUUGCCGCCACCUGAUCUACUGAUGAUGUGUUAUACACUCGUUGAUCUAAUGAAGCAUUUAGAGCUAUGCGUAUUUCUAGAUUCUGAUAGCCCGUAUGUUCUUUAAGCUGUGAGAAGAAUUCUGCAUAUGGAUUUUUCUGCAUGAUUUUUCUUAAUUUCCUCAUGACUCCCUCUGAUAAAUUGGUAUUUUGUAGUACGGACAUUCUAUUUGCUAAUUCAUUGUCUGUAUCUUAGAAGUUUAGUUGAAAAUAACAAGGUCUGUCGUUCUUCGGGAUUAAUGAUGGUAGAUCAUGGUCUACCUGUCCUUGUGCCUUGAAACUGUAUACUCCUCUCGUGGAAGAUGUAAGUCUUUAUCUAGCUUUACUCCAAAUGAUGUAAAAGCAAAUAUGCUAUUAUAUGCUCUUAUAUUUUUCCUAAAUAACUUUGCUUCUUCCGAUGCUGCCACAAAUAACUCAUAAUAUUCAUCAGCCACUUCAUUAGGUGCUAAUUUGAUAUAGCCACCUGCGCAAUAGAAUGUUGGCGGCUCAUAUUCAAACCUUCGAGCAUGACGGUAGGUACAAUCUUCUUUUUUUCCAGUUUGUGAGUUGUUAUCAUUGAGAAAUUCCUAUGAAGUACCCCUAUACAACAGAUCACAUUAAUAUUUUUUAGUAAAUCAUUAUUAACUGGUGACCCUUUCGUAUAGACUAUUGUGUUGAAUAUACCUCCUUCGUAGUUGUCUCAGAUAUAGCUAUUAGCUUCUUAUUUAUUUAUUUUUCAUUUUUUUCACUUGUGGUUCUUUAAUGUUGCCAUCUUCUAUUUGAUUUGUUGCUGCCACAUAUUUUUGCGCACUUCGCAACGCCCUUUCAAUAUAUGUAAGUAUUUUACGCUUCGUUACUGUUGCAAAUGUGAUGUAAUCAUGUUAUAAUUUUGUCUCUUAAGUAAGUUUGUAAUUUGUAUUUUUCUGUAGAACUGAUCAUUUGGUCAAUAUACCUCUUGUUUUAGGCUGUUCAUUCUGUUGAUCUGGCAUGUUAAAUUGAAAUGCAUUUGCUGUAAUGUUCUGUUGUUUGCAAUGAUUUGAAUUUGUAAACUCUGUAGUUGAUACUUUCAUACUGUCUGGUAGUGUACCUGCAAGUUGUUCAUUCUGUGUUAGAUCAUUAUUAACUUCCUUCGAGAUGUUAUGGUAUGUCAAUUUGGUUGGUUAGUUGUUGUAAUACGUACGUUUUGUGAUAAAAUGAGUGGUAUAUGAUAAUAUUUGUACAUUAUAAAAGCUAAGUGACAAAGUGUUGUGUGAAACAAUAGAAAACACAUUAGCCUAAUGUGUUGCCAGCCCCCCAAAUAUUUGAAAGGUUGAUAACAUCAAUUUUCCAACAAAAAUAUGAUCUUCGGUAGACAAUUGUAUAUUUAUCCCCUAAGAUAGAGCAACUAUUUUUCAGCCACCAUGGACCAAGUUGCAGUUGUGUAAUUGUUUUUUUCUUCUUGCACGAUGCUUAAUGAUAAAUCAUUAUCGGUUUCAGGCAAACAGGUCAAUCUUUGAAUAUGUUGCGAAAUUUAUGAUGAACUUACAAUUAAUAAUUUGCUGAUGUGCCGGAUUAAUAAAAAAUGUAGGAGUUUGCAAGUAGAUUCUAACCAAAACAGAGGAGCGUUGAAAUUGAUCCUCCGACCGCUGAGUAAACAAUUAUGUGACUGCUUUACAAUGUUUUGAUACUUUGUACGGAUAGAUAUGUAUCGUCUACAGUAUUGAUCUGCAAGAACUUGAUUAAGUUGUAUUGUUUAGUAAUUUUUAAUAAUAUAAAUAGGGUGGUAAUGCAUUUGAUGUUGAUGUUUCGUUUGGGGAAUUGGUUGGAACGGUUGAUGAUAUAUGUUUCAAGAAAGAUCACAAUUUAAUCAGGCAGUUGCAAUGGUUGAUAGAGGUUAUGACUUUCUGCAGAAGUGUUGUUGGUCGGUGAUGGGUUUUAUUAAUUUGCUACAUUGUAUAUUUUUAGGGGUUUAGUACGUUUAUUGGUGAGGUUUGGUGGGAGUAUAAAGUUUGAGACCAUAGGUCAUGGGCUUUUAUGUAAGCAAAGCAUGUGAUAUACUUUAUAUAUUUCUUAAAUGUAAUUUGCUUCAUAGAAAGGUAUAUAAUACUUAAUAUCUCGUAAUGUCGUUCUACUUUGACAUAUAUAACUAACAAUGUCAUAUUAAUGUCAAUUAUAAAUUAGUUUAUAUCUUUUAUAUCAGUAAUAUAAUAUAAGUCAAUUAAAUUACUGAUCCAAUUUAUAUUUUUUAAAUGUUAUACCAAAAAAAAAUCUCACCUAGACUAAUAUACAAGUGUUGUAAUGAAAUACCUUUUGACUUUGCAGAAUUUUUUAAAUUGAUGAUGAAGGAAUGUAACUUAUAGUCGAACAAGUUCAACAUCAUAAUGGUUAUUUUGAUACUGAUCUAGUGGGCGAUACAUAGAAAAUAUCGAGAAGCAACUCUUGCAUUUUUGUAAAUAUGCUCAUAAUUCAAUUUGAUAUUUAUUGUCAGAGGGGAUAACUUUAUAUAUCAAAGCUAUGUUUUAAA